UACGUAGGGUGCGAGCGUUAAUCGGAAUUACUGGGCGUAAAGGGUGCGCAGGCGGUUAUAUAAGACCGAUGUGAAAUCCCCGGGCUCAACCUGGGAACUGCGUUUGUGACUGUAUGACUAGAGUACGGUAGAGAGGGGUGGAAUUCCUGGUGUAGCAGUGAAAUGCGUAGAUAUCAGGAGGAACAUCGAUGGCGAAGGCAGCCCCUUGGACCUGUACUGACGCUCAUGCACGAAAGCGUGGGGAGCAAACAGG
rnacentral:rRNA from 1 species